rnacentral:rRNA from 1 species
AGUGAACGCUGGCGGUAUGCCUAACACAUGCAAGUCGAACGGCAGCACAGUAAGAUCUUGCUCUUACUGUUGGCGAGUGGCGGACGGGUGAGGAAUACAUCGGAAUCUACUUUUUCGUGGGUGAUAACGUAGGGCAACUUACGCUAAUACCUCAUACUACCUACGGGUUAAAGCAGGGGAUCUUCGGACCUUUCGCGAUUGAAUGAGCCGAUGUCAGAUUAGCUAGUUGGCGGGGUAAAGGCCCACCAAGGCGACGCUCCGUAGCUGGUCUGAGAGGAUGAUCAGCCACACUGGAACUGAGACACGGUCCAGACUCCUACGGGAGGCAGCAGUAGGGAAUAUUGGACAAUGGGCGAAAGCCUGAUCCAGCAAUACCGCGUGGGUGAAGAAGGCCUUCGGGUUGUAAAGCCCUUUUGUUGGGAAAGAAAAGAAGCAGGUUAAUACCCGGCUGUUCUGACGGUACCCAAAGAAUAAGCACCGGCUAACUUCGUG